rnacentral:rRNA from 1 species
CGGGAAGAGCUCAAAUUUAAAAUCUGGCGGUUUCACCGUCCGAGUUGUAGUCUAGAGAAGCAUCAUCUACGCUGGACCAUGUACAAGUCUCUUGGAACAGAGCGUCAUAGAGGGUGAGAAUCCCGUCCUUGACAUGGACUCCCAGUGUUCUGUGUUGUGCUCUCAAC